UACGUAGGUGACAAGCGUUGUCCGGAUUUACUGGGCGUAAAGAGCGCGCAGGCGGUCGUUCAAGUCGAGUGUGAAAGCCCUCGGCUCAACUGAGGAAGUGCACCCGAAACUGGCGAGCUUGAGUACGAAAGAGGAUCGCGGAAUUCCCGGUGUAGAGGUGAAAUUCGUAGAUAUCGGGAGGAACACCGGUGGCGAAGGCGGCGAUCUGGGUCGAUACUGACGCUGAGGUGCGAAAGCGUGGGGAGCAAACAGG
rnacentral:rRNA from 1 species